rnacentral:rRNA from 1 species
GGCUUACCAUGCAGUCGAGGGGUAACAGAUCUUCGGAUGCUGACGACCGGCGAACGGGUGAGUAACACGUAUGCAACUUACCCAUAACUCGGGAAUAGCCCAAAGAAAUUUGGAUUAAUACCCAAUAAUACAGGCGUACCGCAUGGUAUUCUUCGUUAAAGAAUAAUCGGUUAUGGAUAGGCAUGCGUUCUAUUAGGUAGUUGGUGAGGUAACGGCUCACCAAGCCGACGAUGGAUAGGGGAACUGAGAGGUUGUCCCCCCACACUGGUACUGAGACACGGACCAGACUCCUACGGGAGGCAGCAGUGAGGAAUAUUGGUCAAUGGACGAAAGUCUGAACCAGCCAAAUCGCGUGAAGGAAGAAGGUAUUAUGUAUCGUAAACUUCUUUUGUAAGAGAGUAAAGUGCACUACGUGUAGUGUAUUGCAAGUACCUUACGAAUAAGCAUCGGCUAAUUCCGUGCCAGCAGCCGCGGUAAUACGGAAGAUGCAAGUGUUAUCCGGAUUUAUUGGGUUUAAAGGGUGUGUAGGUGGUCUAAUAAGUCAGUGGUGAAAUCUCUUUUGCUUAACAAGGAAAUUGCCAUUGAAACUGUUAGACUUGAGAAUGGACGAGGUAGGCGGAAUUCGUAGUGUAGCGGUGAAAUGCAUAUAUAUUACGAAGAACUCCAAUAGUGUAGACUGCUUACCAGGCCAUAUCUGACACUAAGGCACGAAAGUGUGGGGUAUCAAACAAGAUUAAAUACCCCUGGGUAGUCCACCCAGUAAACGAUGAAUACUACUGUUUGUGAUAUACAGCAAGUGGACGAGCGAAAAACGUUACGUAUUCCAUCCGGGAAGUAAGCCCGGCAACCGUGAAAUUCAAAUGAAAUGAAUGGAGCCCGCCCCACCGAAGAACAUGAAGAUUAAUUCAAUUAUACGCUAGGAACCUUACCCUAGGCCCGAACUAAAUUAGAU